GCUUUGUGAGCGGUCUCAGGAGCACCGUGGUCACCACACAUUCCUCACGGAGGAGGUUGCCCAGAAGUACCAAGUGAAGCUCCAGGCAGCUCUGGAGAUGCUGAGGCAGAAGCAGCAGGAAGCUGAAGAGUUGGAAGCUGACAUCAGAGAAGAGAAAGCUUCCUGGAAGACUCAAAUACAGUAUGACAAAACCAGCGUCUUGGCAGAUUUUGAGCAACUGAGAGACAUCCUGGACUGGGAGGAGAGCAAUGAGCUGCAAAACCUGGAGAAGGAGGAGGAAGACAUUCUAAAAAGCCUUACGAAGUCUGAAACUGAGAUGGUGCAGCAGACCCAGUCCGUGAGAGAGCUCAUCUCAGAUGUGGAGCAUCGGCUGCAGGGGUCAGUGAUGGAGCUGCUUCAGGAUGCAGAACGUGACCUUGAAGAAGCCAGAAACUUUUCCAAAAAAUCAAAGGAGAGUGUUUCGAGCUCCUAAUCUGAAAGGAAUGCUAGAAGUGUUUAGAGGUGAGGAAAGCUAGAUCAACAACAGGGUUAUGGAAUUCAAGUGGUGUCAGGGUGCUAAAUAGGGAAGAGGGUGCAGUUUCCAAAUAUGGAUAGAGGGGAUA
rnacentral:sRNA from 1 species